UACGUAGGGUGCGAGCGUUGUCCGGAAUUAUUGGGCGUAAAGGGCUCGUAGGCGGUUUGUCGCGUCGGGAGUGAAAACACUGGGCUUAACUCAGUGCUUGCUUCCGAUACGGGCAGACUAGAGGUAUGCAGGGGAGAACGGAAUUCCUGGUGUAGCGGUGAAAUGCGCAGAUAUCAGGAGGAACACCAGUGGCGAAGGCGGUUCUCUGGGCCUUACCUGACGCUGAGGAGCGAAAGCGUGGGGAGCGAACAGG
rnacentral:rRNA from 1 species